AUUUACAUAUUGUAAAGAAAGGAUAUAUAAGCCAAAGAUCAAUAUGUCAGUUGAUGGGUAAGAUCAUGCAGCACCCGUAAUGCUACACAAAGAAGGAUAGAGCAUUCACAAUAGAUCUAAAGCAAAAAUAUGUAUUAGAAAGAAUGAGGUUGGCAUGUGGAAAGACAUAAUGCUUUAUGAUAUUCAUAAUCAUGAGCUCAUCCAUAGC
rnacentral:lncRNA from 1 species